GCUGCAGCUAACGCAUUAAGCACUCCGCCUGGGGAGUACGGUCGCAAGACUGAAACUCAAAGGAAUUGACGGGGGCCCGCACAAGCGGUGGAGCAUGUGGUUUAAUUCGAAGCAACGCGAAGAACCUUACCAGGUCUUGACAUCCCGUUGACCACUGUAGAGAUAUGGUUUUCCCUUCGGGGACAACGGUGACAGGUGGUGCAUGGUUGUCGUCAGCUCGUGUCGUGAGAUGUUGGGUUAAGUCCCGCAACGAGCGCAACCCUUGAUCUUAGUUGCCAUCAUUUAGUUGGGCACUCUAAGGUGACUGCCGGUGACAAACCGGAGGAAGGUGGGGAUGACGUCAAAUCAUCAUGCCCCUUAUGACCUGGGCUACACACGUGCUACAAUGGACGAUACAAACGGUUGCCAACUCGCGAGAGGGAGCUAAUCCGAUAAAGUCGUUCUCAGUUCGGAUUGUAGGCUGCAACUCGCCUACAUGAAGCCGGAAUCGCUAGUAAUCGCGGAUCAGCA
rnacentral:rRNA from 1 species